rnacentral:lncRNA from 1 species
CGGCCCCCCACCCAGCUGGAGAGGCUGCAGGCACAGAGGCCAGGCCUGGACAGCACAGGGAGGGCCAGGUCGGCGGGCCACAGCCCUGAGGCUCACCUCCCGGAUGAUGCGGCCCGACACAGCAUCCAGCACCACGACUCUGUUGGACGAGGUGGACACCAGCAGGUGGCCCAGAGCUGCAGGGCCAAAGCACACAGCCAUGGCUGAGUCCAGGCGGCUGCUGGCCAGGUCCAGAGUGCCGAUGUCAACUCGCAGCAGCUGGGGGUAGUGGACCCAGUCGGUGCACCAGGAAACCGGCAUGUGUGUCCAGGUGUGGGCCUGCACCAGAUCCAGGCCUCCCCCGCCCUGAGGAGUCCCCCAGAGUGGCUGCAGGGGGCCCAACCUGCCACUCGGAGGACAUGCCACUGGGGGUCCGCACAGCUGUACUGGGCCAGGGAGCCCUGGGAGCAGGAGCUGAAGCCUGCAGCACACACAGGGACCCCGCUGGCCCUAGCCCCGAAGCCCAGGACCUCAGCGGCCUCCAGGCUGAAGGAGCGCACGGCCCCACUGCUAAAGCCACAGAAAAAGGUUGGCCUUGUGGGGUGGAAGGUGACAGCGCACGGGGCGUCCUCUGAUGAUGUGAAGUCGUAUAGCUGUGGGACAGGGGCCGUGCUGAGGGGAGGGCAGGGAUCUCAAGGGCCCAGGGGCUC